rnacentral:rRNA from 1 species
GUCUACGGCCAUGCUAUCCUGAAGAAGCUCAAUCCCUGAUCUCCGGCUAAGCGGAUCGGGCCUGGUUAGUACUUGGAUGGGAGACUACCUAGGAACACCAGGUGUUGUAGGCA